CUCCCAGUAGACGACUGGGUUGAUAGGCCGGAUCUGGAAGCCAGGUAACUGGUGGAGGUGACCGGUACUAAUAGGCCGAGGGCUUGUCCUCAGUUG
rnacentral:rRNA from 1 species